AGCUUUGCGCAGUGGCAGUAUCGUAGCCAAUGAGGUUUAUCCGAGGCGCGAUUAUUGCUAAUUGAAAACUCAAAUUUUUAUUUGGAAUAUGUUUACUUGUAAGUCACAUGAGUUAUUUAACAUUGUGGGAUACCAA